rnacentral:rRNA from 1 species
GAUGAACGCUGGCGGCGUGCCUAAUACAUGCAAGUCGAGCGAACAGACGAGGAGCUUGCUCCUCUGACGUUAGCGGCGGACGGGUGAGUAACACGUGGAUAACCUACCUAUAAGACUGGGAUAACUUCGGGAAACCGGAGCUAAUACCGGAUAAUAUAUUGAACCGCAUGGUUCAAUAGUGAAAGACGGUUUUGCUGUCACUUAUAGAUGGAUCCGCGCCGCAUUAGCUAGUUGGUAAGGUAACGGCUUACCAAGGCAACGAUGCGUAGCCGACUUGAGAGGGUGAUCGGCCACACUGGAACUGAGACACGGUCCAGACUCCUACGGGAGGCAGCAGUAGGGAAUCUUCCGCAAUGGGCGAAAGCCUGACGGAGCAACGCCGCGUGAGUGAUGAAGGUCUUCGGAUCGUAAAACUCUGUUAUUAGGGAAGAACAAAUGUGUAAGUAACUAUGCACGUCUUGACGGUACUUAAUCAGAAAGCCACGGCUAACUACGUG